rnacentral:rRNA from 1 species
AAAGAGAGAUUAACACCGCAUAACAUCAUUUACCGGCAUCGGUUUGUGAUCAAAUAUUUAUAGGAUAUGGAUGGGCUCGCGUGACAUUAGCUAGUUGGAGAGGUAACGGCUCACCAAGGCUACGAUGUCUAGGGGCUCUGAGAGGAGAAUCCCCCACACUGGUACUGAGACACGGACCAGACUCCUACGGGAGGCAGCAGUAAGGAAUAUUGGUCAAUGGAGGCAACUCUGAACCAGCCAUGCCGCGUGCAGGAUGACUGCCCUAUGGGUUGUAAACUGCUUUUGUCAGGGAAUAAACCUUUCUACGUGUAGGAAGCUGAAUGUACCUGAAGAAUAAGGAUCGGCUAACUCCGUGCCAGCAGCCGCGGUAAUACGGAGGAUCCAAGCGUUAUCCGGAUUUAUUGGGUUUAAAGGGUGCGUAGGCGGUCCUAUAAGUCAGUGGUGAAAGACGGCAGCUUAACUGUCGCAGUGCCUUUGAUACUGUAGGACUUGAAUCUAUUUGAAGUGGGCGGAAUAAGACAAGUAGCGGUGAAAUGCAUAGAUAUGUCUUAGAACUCCGAUUGCGAAGGCAGCUCACUAAGUUAGUAUUGACGCUGAUGCACGAAAGCGUGGGGAUCAAACAGGAUUAGAUACCCUGGUAGUCCACGCCCUAAACGAUGAUAACUCGAUGUUUGCGAUACACAGUAAGCGUCCAAGCGAAAGCGUUAAGUUAUCCACCUGGGGAGUACGGUCGCAAGAUUGAAACUCAAAGGAAUUGACGGGGGCCCGCACAAGCGGAGGAGCAUGUGGUUUAAUUCGAUGAUACGCGAGGAACCUUACCCGGGCUUGAAAGUUAGUGAAUGAUCCAGAGACGGAUCAGUCCUUCGGGACACGAAACUAGGUGCUGCAUGGCUGUCGUCAGCUCGUGCCGUGAGGUGUUGGGUUAAGUCCCGCAACGAGCGCAACCCCUAUGUUUAGUUGCCAGCACGUUAAGAUGGGGACUCUAAACAGACUGCCAGCGUAAGCUGUGAGGAAGGUGGGGACGACGUCAAGUCAUCAUGGCCCUUACGUCCGGGGCUACACACGUGCUACAAUGGACGGUACAGCGGGCAGCUACAUAGCAAUAUGAUGCUAAUCUUUUAAAGCCGUUCACAGUUCGGAUUGAGGUCUGCAACUCGACCUCAUGAAGUUGGAUUCGCUAGUAAUCGCGUUUCCGUUAUACGCGGUGAAUACGUU